AAUUAUUAAAAGAAGAAGAAGAAGAAGAAGAAGAAGAGUCAAAUGUACCCCAGGUAAUAUUUAUCUAUAUAUACAUGUAGUGUUCUUUUUGUAAUUUGGGUUUAGUAAAUUACUCGUAUUUAUUAACGAAUUGACAAGAAACGGAAGAAGGGUAAGAAGUUGUAUUUUAAGUUGGGAGAUGGAAAGUUUGUGAUUGAUGAGGACUAUCUCACGGAGUCUAAGGCCAUCCGUACCUUUUACCGGUGUGGAUUUCACGGCGCCAUAUCUGCCAAAAUCAAAGAUAAAAGCAGCCGCAUCAUUAGAUUGGCUCUUUAGUUCUCCAAGGAUCGUGGGCUGAUCAAAAAACAACAUAAGAACUAGAAUGAUGAUAACGACAACCUUCUCCUCCAACAAAAGUUGAAGGAUUUCGAUGAAAGUUUUCUUUAGCAGAAUCACGCCGAUGCUAUUGAUCUUGCUGAUAUGAAAAACCUCUAUUACCUGAUGAGAAGGACUGCUACUGACAUAAUCUUUAAGAUGACUCCUGACGAAAUUCGCAAGAUCUUCGACGUAUAUUAUGAUGAAAAUAAAACCGACUCUGAUACCUUUAAAAUGAUGAAGUACACGCUCCGUAAUGCUGCUUGGGCUUUUAAGCCAAUCAUGUAGGCCUCCCUCCCUCCCUUAUGUAUUUAUAUCGCACUUUAGUUAUAAUCUUGUGGGAUGUCUUGUGGUUUUGGAUGCUUAAUGAAUUAUAUAUUUAUAUGUAUUGUUGACGAA